AUUAUCAUUUUUGAUAUUGUUUUUCUCCAUGACUAUAACAAUUCGAUUAUAAUCAUCAAACCGUAGAGAUAUUUGAUAGCAUUUAAUUACUACAAAAUUAUAAAAUAUUUAGACAAUAAUUCAUAAAAAUAUCAUAAAUAAGAUCAAUAUUAAUAAAAUAAAUGGUUUUUUUACGGGACGGGUUGGCGGGACGGGUUUGGCAGGACGUUACUUAAUAACAAUUGUAAACUAUAAAAUAAAAAUAUUUUAUAGAUAAAUACAAUUUGCAAAGUUUUAUGUAUAGUAACUUUAAAAAAUAAAUUGUUUCCGCGGUGUACCGCGGGUUAAAAUCUAGUAUAUAUAUAUAGAACUAAAACCAUUACAAAAAGAAAAGAUUUCGCCUUUUUAAUGAUGGAUAAUUCUAAAGCCUAU
rnacentral:sRNA from 1 species